GAAUGCUGACAUAAGUAACGAUAAAGCGGGUGAAAAGCCCGCUCGCCGGAAGACCAAGGGUUCCUGUCCAACGUUAAUCGGGGCAGGGUGAGUCGACCCCUAAGGCGAGGCCGAAAGGCGUAGUCGAUGGGAAACAGGUUAAUAUUCCUGUACUUGGUGUUACUGCGAAGGGGGGACGGAGAAGGCUAUGUUAGCCGGGCGACGGUUGUCCCGGUUUAAGCAUGUAGGCUGGUUAUCCAGGCAAAUCCGGAUAAUCAAGGCUGAGGUGUGAUGACGAGGCACUACGGUGCUGAAGUAACAAAUGCCCUGCUUCCAGGAAAAGCCUCUAAGCAUCAGGUAACAUCAAAUCGUACCCCAAACCGACACAGGUGGUCAGGUAGAGAAUACCAAGGCGCUUGAGAGAACUCGGGUGAAGGAACUAGGCAAAAUGGUGCCGUAACUUCGGGAGAAGGCACGCUGGUGUGUAGGUGAAGUCCCUGCGGAUGGAGCUGAGACCAGUCGAAGAUACCAGCUGGCUGCAACUGUUUAUUAAAAACACAGCACUGUGCAAACACGAAAGUGGACGUAUACGGUGUGACGCCUGCCCGGUGCCGGAAGGUUAAUUGAUGGGGUUAUCCGUAAGGAGAAGCUCUUGAUCGAAGCCCCGGUAAACGGCGGCCGUAACUAUAACGGUCCUAAGGUAGCGAAAUUCCUUGUCGGGUAAGUUCCGACCUGCACGAAUGGCGUAAUGAUGGCCAGGCUGUCUCCACCCGAGACUCAGUGAAAUUGAACUCGCUGUGAAGAUGCAGUGUACCCGCGGCAAGACGGAAAGACCCCGUGAACCUUUACUAUAGCUUGACACUGAACAUUGAGCCUUGAUGUGUAGGAUAGGUGGGAGGCUUUGAAGCGUGGACGCCAGUCUGCGUGGAGCCAACCUUGAAAUACCACCCUUUAAUGUUUGAUGUUCUAACGUUGGCCCCUGACCGGGGUUGCGGACAGUGUCUGGUGGGUAGUUUGACUGGGGCGGUCUCCUCCCAAAGCGUAACGGAGGAGCACGAAGGUUAGCUAAUCCUGGUCGGACAUCAGGAGGUUAGUGCAAUGGCAUAAGCUAGCUUGACUGCGAGCGUGACGGCGCGAGCAGGUGCGAAAGCAGGUCAUAGUGAUCCGGUGGUUCUGAAUGGAAGGGCCAUCGCUCAACGGAUAAAAGGUACUCCGGGGAUAACAGGCUGAUACCGCCCAAGAGUUCAUAUCGACGGCGGUGUUUGGCACCUCGAUGUCGGCUCAUCACAUCCUGGGGCUGAAGUAGGUCCCAAGGGUAUGGCUGUUCGCCAUUUAAAGUGGUACGCGAGCUGGGUUUAGAACGUCGUGAGACAGUUCGGUCCCUAUCUGCCGUGGGCGCUGGAGAAUUGAGGGGGGCUGCUCCUAGUACGAGAGGACCGGAGUGGACGCAUCACUGGUGUUCGGGUUGUCAUGCCAAUGGCACUGCCCGGUAGCUAAAUGCGGAAGAGAUAAGUGCUGAAAGCAUCUAAGCACGAAACUUGCCCCG
rnacentral:rRNA from 1 species